rnacentral:rRNA from 1 species
CCCUUAGAUGUCCUGGGCUGCACGCGCGCUACACUGAUGUGUCCAGUAAGCACCUAACCUCUUCCGAAAGGAACGGGUAACCUUUGCAAAGCACAUCGUGAUGGGGAUAGAUUAUUGCAAUUAUUAGUCUUGAACGAGGAAUUCCUAGUAAGCACAAGUCAUCAGCUUGUGUUGAUUACGUCCCUGCCCUUUGUACACACCGCCCGUCGCUCCUACCGAUUGGAUGAUCCGGUGAGCUAUUCGGACCUUCGCUUCGUCGAUUUUCGGCUUUGUGAGGGAAAGUCUCGCGAACCUUAUCAUCUAGAGGAAGGAGAAGUCGUAACA